rnacentral:rRNA from 2 species
CCUGACUGCUAUCGGAUUGAUACUAAGCCAUGCGAGUCGUUGUAGCAAUACAAGGGAGACGGCUCAGUAACACGUAGUCAACCCACCCUAUGGUCGGGGAUAAUCUCGGGAAACUGAGCAUAAUACCCGAUAGGUCAUAAUGCCUGGAAUGGUUUAUGGCCCAAAUGAUUUAUCGCCAUAGGAUGGGACUGCGGUCUAUCAGCUUGUUGGUGAGGUAAUGGCCCACCAAGGCAAUAACAGAUACGGGCUCUGAGAGGAGAAGCCCGGAGAUGGGUACUGAGACACGGACCCAGGCCCUAUGGGGCGCAGCAGGCGAGAAAACUUUGCAAUGUGCGAAAGCACGACAAGGUUAAUCCGAGUGUUUCCUGCUAAAGGAAUCUUUUGUCGAUCCUAAAAACACCGAUGAAUAAGGGGUGGGCAAGUUCUGGUGUCAGCCGCCGCGGUAAAACCAGCACCUCAAGUGGUCAGGAGGAUUAUUGGGCCUAAAGCAUCCGUAGCCGGCUGUGUUAGUCUCCGGUUAAAUCCAUAUGCUUAACAUAUGGGCUGCCGGAGAUACUGCACAGCUAGGGAGUGGGAGAGGUAGACGGUACUUGGUAGGAAGGGGUAAAAUCCUUUAAUCUACUGAUGACCACCUGUGGCGAAGGCGGUCUACUAGAACACGUCCGACGGUGAGGGAUGAAAGCUGGGGGAGCAAACCGGAUUAGAUACCCGGGUAGUCCCAGCUGUAAACAAUGCAAACUCAGUGAUGCGCUGGCUUGUGGCCAGCGCAGUGCCGCAGGGAAGCCGUUAAGUUUGCCGCCUGGGAAGUACGUACGCAAGUAUGAAACUUAAAGGAAUUGGCGGGGGAGCACCACAAGGGGUGAAGCCUGCGGUUC